UGCGCUUGCCUUUUUGCCUCGCGGCACUUACUGCUGGUUCGCGCUUGUAGGGGCUCUUUCAGCGUUCCGUUGAAAGCUCAGCAGAAAAAAGGGGUGCGUGUUGUGAAGCAGACUACAAAGCGCCCGCCAAUUCAGCAGGACACGUCUUCUGAUGAUGAUGAGGAUUUGGGGACCAUCCGUGCGUUGGUAGCUAGAGUUGAGGCGCUGGAAAAGGAAUGCAGGCAGCCGCUGGACGCUGAUAAGGGUACAAGUACCGCUCCAGCAGGAUUGGUGUUCUUGAAGCUGCAGUACCCAUUGAAGAGCCCUUAGCAGCUGGGUAGCCAGCUGCUUUGCCUGCGGUUCCAGAUACCAUCUCUUCUCCUGCGGUUCUAGUCAUACCUGCUGUUGGGCCUCUUCAAGCGCCACUGCCAUUUUCGCCACCGGCGGCCACGGCUCUGCCUGCGGGAGCUUUGGGGUUUGUCGCACCCCCAGUGGUUGCCUCUCCGGCUGCUUAUGCAGGUUUGUUGAGCCUCCCAGUUCCUGUGAAGAUCGUUCUGUGUGGCCAUUCAAUCUUGUUUUGGGCGCACCGGCGUGCCUCUUCGUCAAUACCUGGAAUACAGCUGCAGCUCUCGGCCGUAGCUACAGUUCGAUGGGAAGCCCGUAGGGGCAUGCUAUGGGAUGCGCUGUUGCCAUCAGUUUGCCGACUUAUGUCUUCAGCGGAUUGGCCUCAUGUAUUGUUGAUUCAUUUGGGGGGAAAUGACUUGGUGCAGCGUCCAGGGAUGGACCUGCUUCGUAAGGUCACUCAUGAUCUCAUGUGGCUUAUUUGUUCAUUUCCCACCCUCCUAUUGGUGUGGUCGGAUAUGCUAGCUAGGAGGGUGUGGAGGGGUGCUUUUCAUCCUAACAGGAUCGAUAGAUCCCGGAAAUGGGUGAAUAGGAAAGUCAGGGCUCUGGUCUUAUCUCUUGGUGGGGCAUAUAUUCCUCAUGAUAGGAUCAGGUUCUAUGCCCCACAUUUGUUUCGUGAUGAUGGGGUUCAUCUUUCAGAACAAGGGUGUGAUUUCUUUUUAGAGGAUCUGAUGUUGGGAUUAAGGGGUUUGUUAAUUUCUUCAGCUGAUCCCCUCUUGUGGCAUAGAAUUCGGGCAGGUGAGGUAUUAGAGGGUUGAAUUGAGGUGAUUAAGGCAUUCUGAAAAAGGGGCACUUCCUAGGGAACCAUCACGGCUUCAUGUCGGGUGGGGAUCUGGGUAGUGUCCUGGUGGGACCGGCUUGCGCAUCAUUGUGAAUGCCUGUACGGCGGGGCCAUGGUGUGGGGGUUGGAACCACAUAACUGGCUCUAAGAGCAAGGAGGGAGGAAUUCACACAUGUCCUUGUCUCUGGAGUUACAGACUCAGAAGAAUUGAUGUGUUUUGAAGGUGAGGGUGUAAUCCCUCAUAGAUAGGUUUAGCCUCACCUGCCCGAAGUAUUUUGAUAUGAAUAAUUGGCUGUAUUUUAAUU